AUACUCUAGCUUCCCCUUCAAUACACGCAUAAAUUUUUCGCCUUUUACUAAAGAUUUCCGUGGAGGGAGCAAUUGAUGAGUCUAUAACAAUUUUUUUUAGUCCCCGGUGCAAACUGGGU
rnacentral:snRNA from 1 species